UCUUCUUCUUCUUAUUCUUCAUCAGCGAUUCUCUUCUGCAAAUGUAAUAGAAAACUCAAAGAUUUCACUCAAGAAACAAAAUGAGUACAGUGGAUAAGAUGUUGAUUAAAGGAAUCAGGAGUUUCGAUCCUGAAAACAAACAUGUUAUCACUUUCUUUAGACCUUUAACCCUAAUUGUUGGUCCUAAUGGUGCCGGUAAAACGACGAUUAUCGAGUGUUUAAAGCUUUCAUGUACUGGAGAGUUACCUCCAAAUGCAAGGUCUGGUCAUAGUUUCAUACAUGACCCCAAGGUUAAGGGGGAGACAGAAACAAAAGGGCAAAUAAAACUUAGGUUUAAGACGGCAGUCGGUAAAGAUGUUGUAUGUAUUAGGUCAUUCCAGUUGACUCAAAAGGCUUCGAAAAUGGAGUAUAAGGCUAUUGAGAGUGUUCUGCAGACAAUUAAUCCUCACACUGGAGAAAAAGUUUGCCUCAGCUAUAGAUGUGCAGACAUGGAUAGGGAAAUUCCUGCAUUGAUGGGCGUUUCAAAAGCUAUUCUGGAAAAUGUUAUAUUUGUGCACCAAGAUGAAGCCAACUGGCCGUUGCAAGAUCCUUCAACUUUAAAAAAGAAGUUUGAUGAUAUUUUUUCUGCUACUCGAUACACAAAAGCAUUGGAGGUCAUAAAAAAGCUCCACAAGGAUCAAAAUCAGGAGAUUAAGACUUACAAGCUGAAGCUGGAAAAUCUUCAAACCUUAAAAGAUGCUGCGUAUAAGCUUCGUGAAAACAUUGCACUGGACCAAGAGAAAACAAACUCUCUGAAAACUCAAUUACAAGAUCUUGAAAGGAACAUACAAAAGAUGGAUACGAAGAUCCAGCAGGCAGAAUCAACACUAAAAGAUUUGCGGAAUCUUCAGGACGAAAUAUCAACUAAAACCACUACCAGAAGCACUUUAUUUAAGCUUCAGCAGACACAGUAUGGUGCCCUAGAAGAGGAAAAUGAAGACACUGACGAGGAGUUGCUGGAGUGGCAAACCAAGUUCGGAGAAAGGAUUGCACUUUUAGACGAUAAAAUUCAAAAGCUGGAGAGGGAAAUGACUGAUACUGAGACAAAACGUGGAUACCUAAGUGAAGCAAUUAAAGAAUCUACUCUGGAAAUUGGCAAGCUUCAACAUGAAGCUGAUGAACAGAGGAAAUUGAAAUAUAAGCGUGAUACUUCCAUCCAAAGCCUUUUCCAAAAGCACAAUUUAGGGCCACUUCCAAGUAUUCCCUUCAGUGACGAGGUUGCCAUUAGCCUCACAAAUAGAGUUCAAACAAGGAUCGCCGAUCUUGAGAAGGACAUACAAGACAAAAAGAUGUCAAAUGAUUCGGAACUACAAGUCUUGUGGGAGAGCUAUGUGGCUGCAAAUAUGCGCUACAGUUCAUUAGAAGCUCAAAAGCAGGCAAAAUUAACAGCGAAGGAAGGUGUUAUUAAGCACAUCAAGGAGAAAGAAUAUGAGCGAGAGAUUGCUGAGGGUCAGCUUUCAAAGUAUAAUCUGUCUCGUAUUGAUGAAAAGGAAAAACAAAUGCAAACAGAGGUUGUGAAAAAGACCCAUCAAAUUGAAGAGAGAAACUUUGAGUCCAAUAUCAACCAGAUUGGAGCCGAGCUCUAUGCUAUAGGUCAAAAAAUUGAAGUACUUAAUCGCGAGAGGGACGUUCUGGCUAGUGAUUCAGAUGACAGAAUAAAGUUGGACCUGAAGAGAACAGAACUGGAAAUCCGCCAGAAGAAGCACAAAAAGAUAAUUGACGAUCACAAGGACAAAAUAAGAUGCAUGCUUAAAGGGAGGCUUCCAUCUGACAAGGAUCUGAAAAAGGAAAUCACUCAAGCCGUUGGGACCCUUAAGAAAGAGUAUGAUGACCUGAACUCGAAAUCCAUCGAAGCAGAAAAGGAGGUGAAAGUGCUCCAGAUGAAAAUUCAAGAUGUAAAAAUCAAUAUUGCCAAGUUUCAGAAAGACACGGAUGCAAAGAAAAGAUUUGUUGACUCAAAACUACAAUCCUUGGUUCAGCAGUCCUAUUACAUUGACUCUUUUCCACAAGCUUUGCAAGAAGCAAUGCUAAAAAGAGAUGACAAGAAAAGCAAAUACAACAUUGCAGAUGGUAUGCGGCAAAUGUUUGAUCCUUUUGAAAGAGUUGCACGUGCUCAUCAUCUUUGUCCCUGCUGUGAGCGUCCUUUCUCCGCGGAAGAGGAGGAUGAGUUUGUUAGAAAGCAAAGAGUUAAGGCUAGUACUUCUGCAGAGCAUUUGAAGGUUUUAGCAUCUGAGAGUUCAUAUGCCGACUUAUUGUUCCAGCAAUUGGACAAGCUUCAGAUAAUGUAUGAGGAAUAUCUCAAGCUUGGCAAGGAAACAAUACCUCAAGCAGAGAGAAAUUUAAAACUUCUGAAUGAAGAUUUGGAUCAGAAGUCCCAGGCGCUUGAUGAUGUUUUGGGAAUUUUGGCUCAAUUGAAGUCUGAGAAGGAAUUGGCCGAAGCCUUGAUUCCACCUGUUGAAACUGCUGCCAGGUUUUCAUCCGAGAUGCAAAUAUUGCAGGAGGAAAUUGACAACUUGGAGGAAAAACUUCAUGUUCAAGGCCAAGGUUUUAAAUCCUUGGAGGAAAUUAAGUCGGAGUUGAAAGAUCUGGAGAGAACAAGGAAUAACCUGGACAAUGAGAAAACAAAGCUAUGGAAUGAACAAAAGUAUAUGACCAGUGAUCUAUCGAGCAUUCAGAAUCGUUGGCAUGCUCUUAGAGAGGAAAAAGGAGAAGCAUUAAUUAUAGUGGAUAAAGUUAAAAGUGCAGAAGAGGAUUUAGAUCGUUUGGCAGAGGAUAAAGAGCAAAUUGAUCUCGAUGAGAAGCAUUUGUUGGAGGCCCUUAUUCCUUUGUCCAAGGAGAAAGAGAAGUUGCUUAGAGACCAUAGUGAGUUGAAAUCAAAACAUGAGCAAGAAUUUGAAGAGCAGUCUAAAGUUAAAAGCAGUUACCAGAUGGAAUUGGAGUCUCUUUUAGAAAUUACUUCCAAAAUUAAAGAGUAUAAUGAUUUAAGGAAAGGAGAAAGGCUAAGAGAAUUAAGUGAGAAACUAUCUCUUUCUGAGUCCCAACUUCAGAAUUACGAGACAAAGAAGGAUGAAAUUUCUGGGGAGUUGAACAAAAGUAAAGAAUUGAAGGGGAGUCAAGGUCAAUUAAAAAGAAAUAUUGAUGAUAAUUUGAACUAUAGGAAGACAAAAGCCGAGGUUGAUGAGCUUGAAAAAGAGAUUGAAUCACUGGAAGAUAGUAUUCUGAGGAUUGGAGGAGUCUCCACUUUUGAAGCUGAACUUAAAAAGCACAAGCAAGAAAAAGAGAGACUUCGUUCAGAGCUUGACAGGAGUCAUGGAACAUUGUCUGUUUAUCAGAGUAAUAUUUCGAAGAACAAACUUGACCUUAAACAGGCUCAGUACAGUGACAUUGACAAGCGAUACUUUAACCAACUGAUCCAGCUCAAGACAACUGAAAUGGCAAAUAAAGAUCUUGACCGCUACUACAAUGCGCUUGACAAAGCACUCAUGCGUUUCCACUCAAUGAAGAUGGAGGAAAUAAAUAAGAUAAUAAGGGAGUUGUGGCAGCAAACAUACAGGGGACAGGACAUAGAUUAUAUAAGCAUUCAUUCUGAUUCAGAAGGUGCAGGAACUCGAUCUUACAGCUACCGGGUCCUCAUGCAGACUGGCGAUGCAGAACUCGAAAUGCGUGGAAGAUGUAGUGCUGGUCAGAAGGUUCUUGCCUCGCUAAUAAUACGGUUGGCAUUAGCCGAGACUUUUUGCCUCAACUGUGGUAUACUGGCUCUGGAUGAACCAACAACAAACUUAGAUGGCCCCAAUGCUGAGAGCCUUGCUGCAGCUCUCCUCAGAAUAAUGGAGGAUAGGAAAGGUCAGGAGAACUUUCAGCUUAUUGUAAUCACUCACGAUGAACGAUUUGCUCAGCUAAUUGGUCAGCGGCAACAUGCAGAAAAAUACUACCGCGUCACUAAAAACGAACAUCAACAUAGCAUUAUUGAAGCCCAGGAGAUAUUCGAUUGACGGUCUAUGCAGAAGCUGUGUAUAGUUGUUACAUUCGGUUAAUUGCUAUUAUAUUGCCAAUCAAACGAGUUAACCUUUGUUUAUUAAAUUUUUAUAUAAACCACUGGUAAAGAAAGCGUACGCAGUUGCAGUGUCCCGUUGUCGGUUGGUCGAACUCAUGAAGACAAAAAAAAAAAAAAAAAAAGAGAAAUCCAAUAUUAAAUUAACGUGCAUCACGUGGGACUCCUUGUGGUUUUGAUUUCUAAAAAUUACAGCCUCCAUUAAAAUGAACCUUGAGAGAAACACAAUAUAGCUUAGCACAACACAAGAAAAUGUUUUCUUUAUCUUCAGAAUCCCCUCCACAUGUAGUUAUACUUCCAUUCAUGGCAAAAGGUCAUACAAUCCCACUACUACACUUAACUCGUCUCCUCUUCCUACGUCGCAGUGAUAUUGCCGUUACCAUCUUCACAACACAUGCUAAUUCUCCGUUCAUGCACCAGUUUUUAUCCGACACAAAUGCAUCUAUUAUCGAUCUCACAUUCCCACAAAAGAUUCAUCCUGAGAUUCCUGAAGGUAUUGAAAGUGUUGAUAAGUUACCAUCUCAAUCUCUCUUAGUCCCGUUUGCUAAAGCAACCAAAUUUCUCCAGCCAGAAUUUGAUGCAAUUCUUGAGACUCUACAUCCGAAUGUCAGUUGUGUGAUAUCUGAUGGAUUCUUACCAUGGAGUCUUGAAUCUGCCUCAAGAUUAUGUAUUCCUAGAUUAGUAUUUGAUGGAGUUAGUAAUUAUGCCAUGGCACUAUACAAAAUCAUUAGCGAACGGGAUUUUCCUACUAGUUCUGACGAUGAAGUUUUCAAAGUUGGUCCAUAUUUCCCUUACCUGAAGCUCACGAAGAAUGAUUUUGAGCCAGAAUUUUCACACCCGGAGCCCGGUGAACAUAUGGAUUUCUAUACAGAGGAAUUCAUUGCAACAAAUGGUAGUCACGGUAUCAUUAUGAAUAGUUUUUAUGAACUCGAACCAGAAUUCGUGGACUACUGGAACAGAAAAGCUUCUCCAAGAGCUUGGUGCAUUGGACCACUCUGCCUUUCAUCUGAAAAGAAGGUCAUGUCCGAACAAAACAGCAGACCCAUGUGGAUUCAAUGGCUUGAGGAGAUGGCAGAGAUGGGAAAACCUGUCUUGUAUGUUGCAUUUGGGUCCUUGGAAGAAAUCACAAUCGAGCAAUACAGAGAAAUAGCAAUUGGAUUGGAGUACUCCGGGGAACACUUCUUGUGGGUUUUGCGCUUGCCUUCGUUCGACAAUGAUGAAUUUAUGGUCGAGUUUGAAAAGAGAGUGAAAGAAAGAGGACUACUCGUAAAGAAUCAAUGGGUUGAUCAAGUUGAAAUACUAAGCCACAAGUGUGUACAUGGGUUUAUGAGUCACUGCGGUUGGAAUUCAAUAUUAGAAAGUAUAUGUGAAUCAGUACCAAUGCUGGGGUUUCCAAUAACAGCCGAUCAACAUUUAAAUGCAAGAAUGAUCGAACAGUAUUUCAGGAUUGGUGUUAAGGUUGUAACAAGAACUGGUUCCGUUCGCGGGUUUUUCGGUUCAGAAUGCAUUGAGAAGAAAGUGAAAAAACUGAUGAAUAUAGAAGAUGAGAAAUGCAAGGAAAUGUUGAAGAAUGUGAAGAAGCUCAGUGAAAAAGCUAGAAAUGCAAUGAAAGUAGGAGGGUCUUCUUGGCACACUCUAAAUUUACUCAUUGAUGAGGUUAUUUGUAGUAAAAAGAUACAAGAUUGUUC